AUGGCGUGCCACCUCGUCGCCGCCUGCGUCCCGCGUCUGGCCGUCGUGUCAUCCUCCGCCUCCGGGGACCCCGUCCGCCGUAUCCGGCGGCGCGCGCCGGGGUCGCGUCCCCAGAAGCCCUCCACGGCGGCUCCGCCCCAGCCGUCCGUCGCGGAGGUGCGGCGCGCUAUCGGCGCCGCCGACGACCCGUCCGCCUCUGGGAGGGACAAACAGUCCGGUUUCAUGGAGCUCCUCGCCUCCACGCCGAUCGGGCAGCCGGAGAGCGACGCCGAGCGCCGAAUCCGCGAGGCCGCCGAGUGGGUGGUCGACAACACCGAGUCGCGCGCACAGGAAGGGCAAAAGUCUAUCUUGGUGCUAUGCAUGAAGAUCUUUCCUCUGUGGCUGUUCCUCAUGCUUACCGCCCUUGGAGUUAUAAAAUUACCAUUUGAUAUUCCCGGUCUGGAUAUGGAUAAUCUCCUAAUGUAA
rnacentral:rRNA from 1 species